GCCAGGCAUGGUGGUGUACACCUGUAGUCCCAGCUAUUCAGGAGGCUAGGUCAUGAGAAUUGCUUGAACCCAGUGGGCAGAGGUUGCAGUGAGCCUGGAUCACCACUGCACUCCAGCCUGGGNNNNNNNNNNCCCAGGCUGGAGUGCAGUGGUGAUCCAGGCUCACUGCAACCUCUGCCCACUGGGUUCAAGCAAUUCUCAUGACCUAG
rfam:Gorilla gorilla gorilla genomic chromosome, chr3, whole genome shotgun sequence